rnacentral:rRNA from 1 species
UACGUAGGGUGCGAGCGUUGUCCGGAAUUACUGGGACGUAAAGCGCACGUAGGCGGCUUUGUAAGUUAGAGGUGAAAGCCCGGAGCUCAACUCCGGAAUUGCCUUUAAGACUGCAUCGCUCGAAUCCAGGAGAGGUGAGUGGAAUUCCGAGUGUAGAGGUGAAAUUCGUAGAUAUUGGGAAGAACACCGGUGGCGAAGGCGGCUCACUGGCUCGUAACUGACGCUCAUGCACGACAGCGUGGGGAUCAAACAGG